UACGGAGGUGGCAAGCGUUGCUCGGAAUCACUGGGCGUAAAGGGCGCGUAGGCGGGGAGGUAAGUCGGGUGUGAAAUCCCUCGGCCCAACCGAGGAACUGCGCCCGAGACUGCUUCUCUUAAGUCCCGGAGAGGAAGAUGGAAUUCCCGGUGUAGCGGUGAAAUGUGUAGAGAUCGGGAGGAACACCGGUGGCGAAGGCGGUCUUCUGGACGGUGACUGACGCUGAGGCGCGAAAGCGUGGGGAGCAAACGGG
rnacentral:rRNA from 1 species